GUUGCUAGGUCCUCAGGCAGACUCAAGUUUGGCUCUCAAGGAGUAAGCCUUCCACAGACCUGUACAUGCCUGGCUUUCUGAAAUCCAAAGGGCCUGACCCUCCCAACCCCGUGAUGACUCCCCAGGGAUGGACGCUCUUCAAGGACUGGUCGUCACAGACGAACAAGUUGUUCUGUGGUCACAUCUGGAGCAGACGUUGAAGUGGCUGACUUGGUCAGCUGGGAAGGCUCUCAUAGGCAAUUGUAAGUCACCAUACAAAGCAAGGUCAGCUAAAUAGAUCACAGGGGUAGAAUUGAAGUGUCUUCUAAGAGAUAAGUAUCUGAACCACCUCCAUGACCAUAAGGAACACUUUGGAGUUUUCAAUUAUCAGAGAAUUAUGCCCAAAUUGCCAAAGAAAAUAUAGAAUAUCUAUAGCCCUCUUAUUUCAAAAAUGACAUUAUAGGUUCCCUAGCCCCUGUGCAUUCUGGAAGCACCCAAUAUUUUUUUUCUACAGAGAAAGGGAGUAUAAGGCUCCCUUCAUCUCAGUCCCUGAUACUGAGAAAGAAAAUGAUUUUGACCCAAUUGUAAGAAUAGACAAAUGGGAGUGCCAUUUAAGACAAGAUACAAAUAUCAAAAUCCUUGGGGAAAAGGACAAAAGUCAGAGACAGCCUUUGUUCUAAGUGAUGGGUUUGACAUCAUAUCUAAAAGGGAGAAGGAGCUGGCUAAUCAUGGA